UCCGUAGGCGGUGCGGCAAGUCGGUAGUGAAAUCUCCGGGCUUAACCCGGAGGCUGCUGCCGAAACUGCCGUGCUAGAGUGCGAGAUAGGCAAGUGGAAUUGCGGGUGUAGCGGUGAAAUGCGUAGAUAUCCGCAGGAACAUCCGAGGCGAAAGCGGCUUGCUGGAUCGCAACUGACGCUGAGGGACGAAAGCUAGGGGAGCAAACAGGAUUAGAUACCCUGGUAGUCCUAGCCCUAAACCAUCAGGACUUGGGGGUUUGUCCCUCGUACGGGGCGAAGUCCCGUACGCUAACGCGUUAAGUCCUCGCGCCGUGGGAGGUACGGUCGCAAGGCUGAA
rnacentral:rRNA from 1 species